CAGGCCUAACACAUGCAAGUCGAACGAAGCACUUUCUUUAGAUUCUUCGGAUGAAGAAGACUGUGACUGAGUGGCGGACGGGUGAGUAACGCGUGGGCAACCUGCCCUGUACAGGGGGAUAACAGUUAGAAAUGACUGCUAAUACCGCAUAAGCGCACGAGGACGCAUGUUCUUGUGUGAAAAACUCCGGUGGUACAGGAUGGGCCCGCGUCUGAUUAGGUAGUUGGUGGGGCAGCGGCCUACCAAGCCGACGAUCAGUAGCCGACCUGAGAGGGUGACCGGCCACAUUGGGACUGAGACACGACCCAAACUCCUACGGGAGGCAGCAGUGGGGAAUAUUGCACAAUGGGGGAAACCCUGAUGCAGCGACGCCGCGUGAAGGAAGAAGUAUUUCGGUAUGUAAACUUCUAUCAGCAGGGAAGAAACUGACGGUACCUGACUAAGAAGCACCGGCUAAAUACGUGCCAGCAGCCGCGGUAAUACGUAUGGUGCAAGCGUUAUCCGGAUUUACUGGGUGUAAAGGGAGCGUAGACGGAGAGGCAAGUCUGAAGUGAAAGCCCGGGGCUCAACCCCGGGACUGCUUUGGAAACUGCAGUUCUAGAGUGCCGGAGNGGUAAGCGGAAUA
rnacentral:rRNA from 1 species